rnacentral:lncRNA from 1 species
GUGAGGAAAAAGAAGAGCAGCUGAGCAGGUAAAGGAUUCAGAGGUAUGGGGUUUGCUUGAAGUCGGAGAUAUCCUUUUAAAUCAUUUAUUAAACUCUUCGUGCUUCCCUAAGAACUUCACAAAUUUUAGGUGUACUUCUCAGUUAUUUUUGCCUUUAUUUUGUUUAUUAAUACAGUUAUUUAAUGGUUCAAAUUUUUCUUUUUGUCAAAUAGUUAUUUAAGAUAAAUUGAUGUAUUUAAGUAAAAAAUUCAUUACCGCACCUAAGAAGCACAAAUCUGUUAAUUAAACGAAAAUUGUAUGGAAGAAGGAAAAAAAAUCAUCAUAAAAAAAGAAAGGAAAAUAUUCUCUUUUUUUUUUGUAAAUGGAAAUUAAAGUUUGGGAUUGAGUAGUUAUCUCUUCUUUCUUAAAAUAUAAGACAAGGAGUAUCAUCUCAAAUUUGAUCGAAUCCUACUGUUUCCCUAUUUGGUUUUAUCCGAAUUACCCAUGCAUUGUCUAUACCACCACACACAUGCAUGUUUAACAUAUACAGUUUUUUGUUUGGUUUGGGUUUUUUUUUUUUUUUUUUUUUUAAAGCUNNNNNNNNNNNNNNNNNNNNNNNNNNNNNNNNNNNNNNNNNNNNNNNNNNNNNNNNNNNNNNNNNNNNNNNNNNNNNNNNNNNNNNNNNNNNNNNNNNNNAAUUAUAAUUUUUUCUGUAUGGACUGACUGCACUAAGUAAAUACUUAGUCUUUCAUAUUACUUACAGCUGCUGUAUAUUACAAUCCAUAAACAACUUAGGAACAAAGCUUGUUCUAUGAGAAUUUCUUUCUCAUAUUUCUAUGGUACGUUGAUACCUUUAUCCAGUGAUCCAUUUGCUGCUUACUACACCAUUAUUUCUUUAGUAAAUAUCCAGACAAAAUCAAACUUGAUUUUCUGUAGUAGCAUCCACCAUAUAGGAGCAUAUCUCUUUAUAAAUUGUUCAUUGGUCCUUGUGAGUAUCCUUGUGUAAUCAAGCUAUACUUGAACGUUAUUUAGAAGGAACAUGAACACACUAUACCAUGUGGUCAUGUCUUUUAAUCUCACAGAAUUUCUUAUCUCACAAGAUCCAUUCACUGAUUUCUUUCUUAGAUGGCUUUUCUGUAUGUACAUAGUUACUACGCUCAUCUGUCUUAUAAUUACUUUGAAUUCUUUGAACACCCCACGUCCCUAUAUAGGUUUUAUGAGUACUCUACGUGGGUUCAUGAUCCUCAGGUUAUAUCCUUCAAAUCCCAAGUACUACAAUCUUUUAUGAGCUCUUAUGUAUGUAAAUACAUCUUUGGUGUUAACACUCUUUAUCUUUAGUUUCAUACUGUUCCAGACAUGAUCUAAUUAGAUUUUGAGAUCUUAUUAUCCAAGACCUUUAUACCUUGCAGUUUGGCGUCCCAAACUACAUGGUCUGGUACCUUAGAUGUGUGGUUGCGCAACCUUAUUUCUCUGUCUGAACUGGUUUCUCUUAUGAACUCGGAUUUGUACGAUUCUGAGCACCUUUCAUUACUUUCCGAGGUUCCUUAUUAUUUGGAACUUAUUUGUCUAUCUCUAAUAGACAUUGUAGCAACUUGAUUGUGUCUCUUAGACAUCUAAUUCGUGGUGCUUAAGCUGGUAUGACAUAGUCAUUUUUUCUUUUCGGGUCAGUGUGUCUGGCAUAUAUUUCUGCUAGCUUUUAUAUCUUUUGAUCAUAUUCUUUUAGAACGUCUAGAUCAUAAUCUUUGGUCUGAGGAUCUUGCCAAGACAACUAUGGUUGAUACCAUUAUAUUUCUCUUUUACUCUUUACUCUUUAUCAGCCUGAUAACUUUCUCCUUUCAAAGUUGGAUAAUCAGAUUACUAUCUUUUGUAAUCUGUGUUCUUGGCCACUUGAUUAAAUCAUCCAUGUUUGGCACAAGAUACAUUAUAGUUUCGUGGAGGAAGUCUUAUUUAUCUAAUAUAUAUUCCCAAUCCUCAUCUGAGGUUCCAUCUUAAAUGGCACACAUAUAUGUGGUGGAAUAUUCGUAUUUUCUUAAGAUGGUUUGUGUAUAUGUCUGGUUUAUGACCCUUAAUCAUUCAGAGGUGGGAAUGUCUAUGCUUACAUGUAUGGCCUGAUGUAAAUCAAUAUUUAUAUACAUAAUGUCCUUAAGCUUUAGGCUGGACGUGGGUGAUGUACCAUUAGUGAGAGCUUUAAAGCUUUCCAGCCGUGUAUAUUAUGGUUGUAAACCAUGGAAUCCGAAUUUAUGAUAUGAUCAUGGACUGUGGGUUUUAGUCCUCUCUCCCCCUCAUGAACAUACUCAUAAUUUCGUAGUGCUUAGGACAGUGGAGCCUUAAUUAUUUUAGUGAUUUUCCCUUUUGUGUACUUAUAACACAUUGUGAGAUUUUAUGGGAUCACUUUUGUGCCUUAAUUAAUUUUUCAUCAUGUUUUGGAUCAAGAUGGCUAAUCUGGUCAUGCCAUAAGUGUUUAUUUCGUGGUGAACCAUACUGGUUACCAUGGCUUUAUGCCUCUUUCAUACUGAUCCUUAGCAUAGAAUAAAUCAGUAGAAAAUAUGGGUAUAGGCAUUCAUAAUGCUUUUAGGCGAUUUUUCAAAAAUCUGAAAGGAAUCGUAUUUUCUUUGCUCACUGGUUCAAUGUAGAAUGUUAUAAAUCUUUAUAACUCAAUGGGUCUGAAUAAUGUCGUGUCUUUUGCCAUUGUCAGUACCAAUUAAUUGAUUUCAAGUGAUUGUAGGAAGGUAAAGUUGAACCUAUACAAUCAAGAUGAAGUUAAAUCUAUGCGAGAAAUCAAUCUAUCAGUGAACUGACUCAUUAGUCUACACCCAACAAUUGAUUUUAUGUGAUUGCAGGAAGGUAAAGUUAAACCUAUACAAUCAAGGUAAAGUUAAACCAUGCAUGAAAUCAACUAUCAGUGGACUGAUUAUCCUUUUAUUAAGGUUUUAUUUGUUAUUUAAUCAAGAAUCAUCAAGCAAGACCAAGCAAGAUAAUAUAUAAAAACAAAAUCGUUUUUAUUAUUUCAAUAACAUAAAUGAAUAACAAAUAAAUCAAAUCAGAUAUGAAAACAUAAAAUCAGAAUGUCGGAAAAUUAUUCAAUGUAUAAUCCGACCUCAUGGUCCAUGAGUGUCCACUCGGAAUCCUCCUCAGAUCUCUUCUUAUCAAAUGUGGCUUUAUUAGCUUCAGGGAUUUUCAUCUCACUGUCUAGUAUUUCAUAAUAUAUCUCCAUGAUGUCAUUAAACCGUCUGAUGUUAUCCAUCCUUUUCUGCUUCUUUUGCUCAAUGUCUAAUAAAUAUGAGAACAUGUCAUAAUAGGUGGUGAAACCUUUGGCCUGAUGUGAUAACAACACUUCCUCUGAAUGGAAUGUGUCACGAGUUUUGUUUAACAAAUCCUCGUUUGUUACCAAUUCACCACAUAGUCUAAGACUAUAGGUGAUUCUCAUAAGAUCAGAGUGAUAAUUGUCCACGGAUUCAUAAUCCUGGAACCUUAGAGCUUCCCAUUUUUUCUUGGAUUCGUGCAACAAUGGCUCACAGAAUCUAGAAUUCAAAAAUGACCAGAGAUUAUGAGGAUCAUUAACAUAUCCAAACUCGUCUCUUAGGUCCUCACAGAGAUGGUGUCGCAUAAUCAUUAUGGCUCUGUGUCUUUCACACGCAAGGGUGUCAUUGCCAUACUUGAUGCACUUCCCAAGUCCUCUAGACUUCAAGACGGCUGAAGUGUUUAUAGCCCAAUCAAGAUAAUUAUCUCCAGAGAGAUCAAGGGCUUUGUAAUCUGAGGGUAUGAAACUCGACAUCUGAAAUCAUUAUUCAAAACAGGUCUUAAUCAAGUAAUCUUUUUGAAAUUUUUCAUGCUUCAUAUCAAUGCCACACACGGACCAAAAGAAAAAAAAUUUCUAAAUGAUGCAUUUUCUUAAAACCAUACGGUUUAAGGUGUGGAUCAAUGUAUUUUUCAGAUUUAAGGUCCUCUUAUUUCAAACACAAGGUUUCAAGGCCUUUAGGGAUUCUAUCUUAGAUGAUCAGGAAAAUGUUCCAUAUUUUUUUCAUCCCAUUGGAUCGGAUCAUUUAGUAUAAUGAUUUUUUUUUUUAGUUCAGAUCAGAUUGCUUGAAAACUAUGAAUGAUCUAUAUCCCUAACAGUCGAGAUUUCAUGUUCAGUAUGCAAUAUUAGUAUGCAAACAAUAUGCAAUCAAGCAAACCAAUUCAAUCAUGAAAUCAGGUUAGGGUUUUCGAAAAAUAUACCAUAUAUUUAUUAUUAUUUUUUUCGAAAAAUAAUCAAAUCAGAAAUUAUUGUGACUUAAAAAAAAAAAAUCAGGAAGAUUUGAUUUAUUCAAGCAAUUUAUUAUAUAUUUUUCGGUUUAAAAAUAAAUAUAUUUUCUCAGAUAUAUCUCUGAUAUUUCGAUUUUAAAUAUUAAAAAAAUAUUUUUUUCAAUCCUAAUCAAGUUCUAGUCGUUAUCAAUCAUCAGGAAAACAAAUUUCUCAGACAAGAACAGGAGGUAAAACCUCGGAUUAAUUUAUGAAAACAUGAUCAGAUUUUCAAAAAAAAAAAUUAUGUAACAUGCAGUCCUUAACAGUUCUAGUUGAUUCAGAUCAGAUAAGAACAUUAAACAGGACAAUAAUGAUAAGUUUAAGCAAGUAACAGUCGGUUUCUUUCAACAUAUAGCAAUCAGAUUUUUUUUAAAAAAUUGUUUAACUUUCAAUCCUAAACAGUUCUAAUGUGAAACUAUCAUCAGGAAAGUUUUAAACAAUUUUAAAAUCAGUUUCAGAUUAAGAACAUGUUCAAAACAAGUUCAGGUUCGAGAUUUUAAAGAGUUUAUGGUUUCCGGUUUUAUUUUAUUUGCAUAGACAUGUUGCUAAAUAUAGCUACAUGGCUGCGGAUGGGAGUAUUUAAUACUUUAUGGGUUUUAGAUGAGUUUUCGAUGAUACCUGAAAACUUUUGAUGGGUUGAUCGGUCUAUCAGUUAGAGAUCUUCCUGGUUAGCUGAUGGAUUGCUUGGAAUUAUUGUUUUUGUUGCUGCUUGUUGGAAUAGGAGACUGGUAUAUGGUUGAGAGAGAUUUUGGUUUCUGGAACAAAUUUUCCGCCUGUAUUGUAGCUGAGCGUGGGGGCGCGUCCGAACUCCGAUUGAUACGGGGUUAGCGGCGUUGGCUUCGUCUCGUCAAGAGCUUUAAUUUGGUAUCUGGCUCGUCGUCUGGAUCCACCGGAGUUGAGGGAUAGAGCUGUUUGAAGUUCGUCGGGAAUUAUGGUUUUUACUGCUCGGAUUUAUUUCUGGUUUUUAGGGUUAGGGUUUAUGAGAGCAACGUCGUGCUGAUAACGUGUUGUAAAUGAAGUGUUGGGAAAAUACUUNNNNNNNNNNNNNNNNNNNNNNNNNNNNNNNNNNNNNNNNNNNNNNNNNNNNNNNNNNNNNNNNNNNNNNNNNNNNNNNNNNNNNNNNNNNNNNNNNNNNNNNNNNNNNNNNNNNNNNNNNNNNNNNNNNNNNNNNNNNNNNNNNNNNNNNNNNNNNNNNNNNNNNNNNNNNNNNNNNNNNNNNNNNNNNNNNNNNNNNNNNNNNNNNNNNNNNNNNNNNNNNNNNNNNNNNNNNNNNNNNNNNNNNNNNNNNNNNNNNNNNNNNNNNNNNNNNNNNNNNNNNNNNNNNNNNNNNNNNNNNNNNNNNNNNNNNNNNNNNNNNNNNNNNNNNNNNNNNNUAUAUAUAUCUGGUGAGACUUGAUGUUAAUUUGCUAGAGAUAUCAUGGUACACCAAAAACCAAAAGAUUAAAUCUAAAAGAUAUGCAUGUAUUAUGUAACUUUGUGAGGUAAACAUUAUAAAAUCCUUGAAUAUAUUAACUUAAUUAGUUGAAAAAUUUACCAUCGGAAAAUUUCAUCACAUAUACUAUGUAAUGGUGUAGUCAAGGACGUGAGAUUUGGUAGUGAUCAAAUUGGUAUAUAGUGAUAUCACAUGUUUAGUCAUCGAAUACUUUUUCAAUAACGGUAUAAAUACGAAAAUUGUUGAGCACAUAUCCACAUUUGGAAUUUCAUACUUAGAAUUAUCUAGUUGUCAUGGAGUUGAAAGUAUUUGCUUUUUUUAUUUAAGGUAUUUGAUCAAAUAACCAAUGACAUCUCUUAAUGGAUGUAAACAUACCCAUCUAUGUAGAUAAAUAUGAUUAGGUUAACCAACUUAAAUAAGAAAUACUUCUUUCGGGAAAUCCGUUCCCGAAAGUAAGAUGUUUUAGAUUUUUUUCUUGUUCCACAAAGAUAAAUUUUCUAUAUUGUUAAGGUACUUUUUUAUAUUUUUGAAAAACAUUAAUUGAAAAUAUUUGAAUUGAUUAAAUUUUAUUGGUGAAAAGUUAUUGGAAAAUGUAUAAUAAAGUAAAAAAUAAAUUAAAUUAUAAACAUUUAUUAAAUUUUUAAUAAACGUACAUACUCUAGAAAAUCUUAUUUUCGGAAGUAUUAGUCAGCCAAAAGAGCUUAUAUAAGAAAUAUAAGUUUAUCUAAAAUAUUCAACACGGUUGGAUCGGCACGGUUGACAUGCUCUUUACGUUUGGAGUUACUUGACUGUGUUUUAACCGGACCGUAACUAACUGUAUACUAUUGGCGAUAACUUUACAUAUAAACAAACUAUAGUUUUAUUUAUAACAGGUUAAACUAAAAUAAUUUACCUGGUCUAAAAUAAAAUUCCAAAACAAACAAGAGAAAAUCGAAAAAGCAAUUAAAUUUUGUUUUUGAACACUCGAAAAAGUAAUUAAUGAAAAUAUAAUUCGUUUAUUUUUUGCACAUGAACUUUGGUAAUUUGGUCAUUUUCGAAAGAAAACGAAACAAAAAAGAGUUCUUAAGUUUAACAAGAAUUUUAUUAAAUCUGAAUAAAUCUAAUGAAAAAAAUAGGAACCAAACUUCAAUCCAAAGUUACCACUUCGAUAUGUAUCUUUAUUCCAAAAAUAUAAACAAAAUGGAAGCAAACUUAAAUCCAAAAGAUGUCACAUUUUCUUUGCAGGUUUCACCAAAAAAGAAGUAUCAGAAAAUGGGACUACAUGACCAACUAACUAUGUGUCUUAUAAGCAAAACAUACACGAUGUUCAAAAAAAAGAAGAAGCAAAGCAUGCACAUGCUUAACAGGAGGUCUAGAAUUACAUAUUUUGUGUCUUAUUGUCCAUCGAACUUUACGAAAAAUAAACUGCGUUUAAUAUCAGCUAGCCUAUUAAAAAGUGCGCAUUGGUGAAACAUAUUUUNNNNNNNNNNNNNNNNNNNNNNNNNNNNNNNNNNNNNNNNNNNNNNNNNNNNNNNNNNNNNNNNNNNNNNNNNNNNNNNNNNNNNNNNNNNNNNNNNNNNNNNNNNNNNNNNNNNNNNNNNNNNNNNNNNNNNNNNNNNNNNNNNNNNNNNNNNNNNNNNNNNNNNNNNNNNNNNNNNNNNNNNNNNNNNNNNNNNNNNNNNNNNNNNNNNNNNNNNNNNNNNNNNNNNNNNNNNNNNNNNNNNNNNNNNNNNNNNNNNNNNNNNNNNNNNNNNNNNNNNNNNNNNNNNNNNNNNNNNNNNNNNNNNNNNNNNNNNNNNNNNNNNNNNNNNNNGAUAAGAGAGAGUCUACCAUUCCUCAUGCUUCCAUUCCUAAAAAAUUUCUUGACACUUCCAAUCAACCUUUACACACUUGUUUAUUUAAAAGACCAAAUAACAAUUUUAUUUUUAAAAUAUAUAUUACGAAAAAUUAUCUAUGUUUCAGAAUUUUAAGUUUUGAGGAAAAUAAAUAUACUACUGAUGGUCUAAACCUUGGUUUGGUAAGUAUAUUCUUGUGGAGUCAGUCAAGACUUUCGUCUACGCAAACAAAUUGUCAUGAAAACCAUACUAGAAAGGUCGAUUAUAAAGUUAUGAAUGGAAGGGCAGGACAAGUGCAGUUCUCCUGCAGGUGUAGUUUUUCCGCAAUACAUUUAUUUUCAUGACUAAUUACCGUUUCAAAUAUCUUACAUCCACUGGUAGAGAGUUUCCCGGUGGUAAAUUUAACCAAAAGUUCAAUAUUAGUGUAACCUACCGGUUUUCUCAAGAAAAUCUCGAUCACCUAAAAAGAAAAUAAAAGAAGUAUAAGUAUCUUAUAAAACAUUUACAGGCAUUUCGGCCGAUCCUAUAACAUCUAAGAUAUUUGUUUAGAUAUCUAGGUGUAAUUUUUAUUGUUUUAAUAUAUGAUCUAUAGUUUAGAACUGAUUUUGUCAUUCACAGGUUAUAAAUAAUUAUUUGAUCGGUUUGAUCUGCUUAUCUCCUGCAUGAUCCGCUUGAUCUGCACUUGUUCUGCUUGAUCUGCAUGAUCUGUUUGAUCUCCCGGUUGAACUGUUUUUACGUUUUGAAGCCUAAGUAUAAAACAGAUAGAUCCAAAAGCAAUCAGCCCCAACAAGGGCAACCGAAAAGAUAAGACGCCCGACAACUACACGCGUCCAAAGACUAGCGGGAGAGAAACACAUGUUAAUAUCUCAGCCUAAGGAGACCACGUGUCGCGAAAUCUUCCACCUCAUCACCGCUUUCGAGAAACAACGCCAGAUAACUGAACCGACGGUUUACCGGAAUCCACCAUAUCACACCGGAAUAACACCGGAACCUCGAACCUCCACCGUCUUCAUCGAGUUAGAAGACCACCGGACUCUACCGUGAAACUUGACCCCUACCACCGAAGAACACCUCCAACGAAUGUAUCGGAGGUUUUGGGGAAUCAGACAGCUGCAACGCACAUGACAGAGCUUCGGAGAGCGUCAAUCGAUUUAAAUCGAGAUCUCAUCCAAACGAUUUCAUUAACCAGCCCCAUAAUCUUCGCUUCCUACCAACAAACUCCAAUUGUGAUUAAUCAUACGAAUGGGCUCCAACUAACAGCCCCACGAGAAGAUCAAUCGACCGUUGAAACAGAAGACAACCGGCGAUGAUCAGGUCCGGGAGAACUCGGUAAAGAGCCAACGACACCGCCAAGGCUACACCACCAGAUACCACCGCUGGAUAGUUUCACCUAAGAGAGCGCGAAACCACCAGAGUCUAAGCCGGCUACACAGCGUCAGAGAGACCGUCGUAUACCAGAGUCGAUAUUCGUUAACCGGAAAGGUAAGACAACGACGGAACCACCACGACUCUCUGUCUCUCAAAGGUUCUAGAGAGAUAAGAGAGAGUCUACCAUUCCUCAUGCUUCCAUUCCUAAAAAAUUUCUUGACACUUCCAAUCAACCUUUACACACUUGUUUAUUUAAAAGACCAAAUAACAAUUUUAUUUUAAAAAUAUAUAUUACAAAAAAAUUAUCUAUGUUUCGGAAUUUUAAGUUUUGAGGAAAAUAAAUAUACUACUGAUGGUCUAAACCUUGGUUUGGUAAGCAUAUUCUUGUGGAGUCAGUGAAGACUUUCGUCUACGCAAACAAAUUGUCAUGAAAACCAUACUAGAAAGGUCGAUUAUAAAGUUAUGAAUGGAAGGGCAGGACAAGUGCAGUUCUCCUGCAGGUGUAGUUUUUCCGCAAUACAUUUACCAUUCACGUUUAUCUGUUUGCAAAAGCAGUUUAAGCGGGAGAUCUGCAUGCAGAUCAAUAUUUUUGUCUUUUUGUGAAAAAAGCGGGAGAUCUGCAUGCAGAUCUCAUCCGCUAACAUUUGGUGGUGUUGAUCUGCUUUUUUUUUUCUUUUUGAUAAUAAAUAAUUUUGUUACUAAAAUAUAUUUAUCUGAUUUAUAAAUAAUGUACAAUGAUUAGCUCAAACUAUAUAGUUUACACUAAUAUUGUUUGUGUUGUUUUAAAAUUAUAAGCAUGACGUUCAAUCGCCGACAAAACACAACAAUUUCAAAGGAAAAAGAUAUAAAUCUUCCUACAUAAAUAUCAACAAGGGUAAGUAGUUAAUAUUGUUUCUGUUUUAAAAUAGUUAAUAUAUAGGUAAAUGAUUGAAAUUUUGUAAAUCUAUUGAGAGAAGACAAUUUCAAUAUUAGUGUAGUCUACCGGUUCUCUCAAGAAAAUCUUGAUCACCUAAAAAGAAAAUAAAAGAAGUAUAAGUAUCUUAUAAAAUAUUUACUGGCAUUUCGGCCGAUCCUAUAACAUCUAAGAUAUUUGUUUAGAUAUCUAGGUGUAAUUUUUAUUGUUUUAAUAUAUGAUCUAUAGUUUAGAACUGAUUUUGUCAUUCACAGGUUAUAAUAAAUUAUUUGAUCGGUUUGAUCUGCUUAUCUCCUGGAUGAUACGCUUGAUCUGCACUUGUCAUGCUUGAUCUGCAUGAUCUGUUUGAUCUCCCGGUUGAACUGUUUUUACGUUUUGAAGCCUAAGUAUAAAACAGAUAGAUCCAAAAUGGAUUCUCGUGAUAUUUGUGUAUGUUGUUUUAGUUGGUUAAUAAAUUAAACCGUUGGAAGUAUCGCGAUAAAUUAUUUCACGGUAUUUUUUUGGGUAAAAGGUUGAUUUUUCACGUUUAUUUAGUUGCAUUCUAUACUUUACCCGUGCUGAACAACAUAGCUUUAUUGAAGAAUCGUGAUUUGUCCUCUUCUCUUGAAACUAGCUUAUGUAUGUUUAGUUAGAAAAUUGUUUAAUAUAUUGUUAUAUUUAUGUACUCCUCCAUUUGGAAUUCUUUGUUUACUAAUGAUUACCCAAGAAUCAUGGCAUGAUUUCAUUGGAAGGAAUGCUUUACAUUUUUUUUUCCAUCAGUAUAUUAUUACCAAAGACAAAAAGCUACAAGAGAGGCCACAGAUACAAGUUGAAACUAUUAUCAAACAAAAGAGAGACCACAAACGGCCCACCAUAAACACCCAAGAACGAGGCCCAAGAUUAAGGCCCGAAACAAAACCCCCCUCCCAAAUAAACACGUACACAACACGUGUACGACGAAGGAUAACGUGUCCGACGCAGAGGAAACCGUCUCAUGCCUCCACCAACCAAAUCUUACGCCGGCGCCCAAACCCAUCGGCGCCGUAUCAAACACCGUCUUCACCGGUUAACACAUCACCGGACCUAAUCAGUAACCACCGGAAUUCAACCGAACGAGGAGCCACACCAAUUCUUUCACCACUUUCACCGUUUCCAGAAACACAUCCCACCGACACCGGAGCCAAAUCGGGAAUACGAUUCUCCACCAUCUUUUCCGGCCUCAAACUUCUCCAUCGAUCCAAACAAAGCGAUCGAUCACCGGAUUCCACCGGGAACCAAAGCCGAAUGAUUUCGCUUAGAAGAUCGCGAAAACAUCGGAGUCAAAGCCAGAUACACCGCGUCAUAGAGACCACCGUGCACCAGAGUCAUUGUCGUGAACCCGAAAGGAGGAAAAAAACGGGACCACCGCGACUUUCUCUAUCUCUCGAGAAAUCUUAUGAGAGAAGGGAGAGAGAGUCUACCAUCCCGUCUUAUUCGCCUUCCAAUGAAAUAUAUGAUCUAUCCUGUCUAGUCUUCCCUCAAAGUGUCACCUGAAUGAAUACAAAUUGCUAACCAAUCCACAAUAAUGUGAAAUGUUAUGUAGGGAACGAACCUAGAGAGCAAGAGAUGAAAAUAAGGAAAGAAACCAUAUGUUUUUUUUUGUGCCGGAACCCAUAACUUUUUGGAUUAGGAACCUAGUCAAUUGCUUUAUUUUCUUUCCGUAACUAUUGAGAUUCAUAUUUAAUACUUUUAUCUUUAGGGCAGAAGGCUUCAUCCGUAGAGUUAACCGAUCCAGAAAACAUAUGUGAAGUGUGAGAUCUGCAUGCAGAUCUCAUCCGCUAACAUUUGGUGGUGUUGAUUUGCUUUUUUUUUUUUUUUUUUUUUUGUGCCGGAACCCAUAACUUUUUGGAUUAGGAACCUAGUCAAUUGCUUUAUUUUCUUUCCGUAACUAUUGAGAUUCAUAUUUAAUACUUUUAUCUUUAGGGCAGAAGGCUUCAUCCGUAGAGUUAACCGAUCCAGAAAACAUAUGUGAAGUGUGUAUGGAUUCUCAUUUCAGUUUAAGGAAGGAUUAAAAAGUGCGUGCCAUUUGACAUGCGUAGUAAUAUUCAGCCUGCCUUUUACACUGACUAUGUUGUCAUUUGUCAGCAUGUGUCCCACUUGAAUAUAUCUCAUCAUUGUGUUAAUAUUUUAUCAUAAAAUUUGUUGUGGGGCGACUCAUUACGAGGCGGUGUUUACGGCUUUUAACUAUUACUAGACAUUUAUAUGAAUUUUCAGUUUUUAAUUAUUUAUUUUAUUAAAUGAUGUAUUUGUAAUAUUCGUUCAUAUUAUAUUCAUUAAGUAAAUAUUUUUUUUUGCAUUUUAAAUUAUCUAUUUUUUACGAAUGUAUGAUAUCAUAAAAAAAUAUAAAAAUAAAAAUAAAAACCAUAAAUUUAGCAAAUGACAACUGAGUUAUAUUAUGCUAAAAUUUUCUUUCUAACAAUUUAUCAAAUGACAAAUGAGUUAUGAGCAAAUAAUACCAUAUAAUUUUUAAAAACAUAGCCAUUCUUAAAUAUUUUUUGAAUAAAUAAUUAUUUUUAAAUUUAAUCAACUGAAAAUAAUAUCCGUACAAUUGUGUGAGUCAAAUUCUAGUUUUAUUGAUGCAUGUUAUAUAUUAAUGCUGCAUGUUUUAGGUAACAUUUUAAUGAUGCACGUUUUUAAAUGACAUUAUGUCCAAAUUUAUUUAAGGAUAUUUCAUUAAGGUAACUGAAAAAGACAAACAAUAAAAUAGGAAGUUUAAAUUCAUUUAAGUAUAUUUCAUUAAUGUAACUGAAAAGACAAGUAAUAAAUUAGACAGUUUUAUUCGUUUUAGGAUAUUUCAUAAAUACAACUGAAAAAGACAAGCACAAAAAAAGAAAGUUUAACUAAUGAAGUAGAACAUUUUCAAAUGGGUACUUCUCUUUUAAUAAUAUAGAUUAGUAUUUAUCGAGUAAUAGUUUUUCUAUUAACUAUUAUAAAAUGGCCUUUUAACGUCAACAAAAAAAAACAUGCAAUGAAAAUUUUACGAUAAACAAUUUAAAAAGAAAAAAAGAAAAAAAGAGAAUGAUAAGAGUAUAUUUAAAUAUUCCUUUUACGUAUUAUCUGAAAAGUUUUUUUUUUUUUUUGAAAAAGGGAUUUCAUAAAAAGUUAAUUAAAUUAUAUUUAAAUACUAAAUUUUUAGAAAUAUUCUAAAAAUAUUGACAAGAUGGAGCUGAUAUAUCAAAUUCGAUUGGAUCAAGAGAGAGAGAAAACUGAGAGACGAAGUUAUUUCUUUCUACUUUUUCUGUUUUGCAUGCUUUGAAAAUCGAUAUCUUCUAAUUAAGGCAAAGGUGAUGCUGGUGCAAGUUGCCAACUUGAUGAUUUUUUGCAACUUGCCAACUUGGUUAUCAAACGCCGACAAAAUUAAUGGAAAUAAGUUUUAUAUUUUCCACUGAAAUGUUAAAAUCCAUCGACAAAUAUUACUCACUCGGUUCCGUUCCUGUAAGAUUUUCUAAAGUAUUCACGCUUAUUAAGAAUUCAAUAAAUGUACAAUUUAAUUUUUUUUUUACUUUAUUAUACAGUUUUCAAAAACUUUUCACCAAUGAAAUUUAAUCAAUUCAAAUAUUUUUGUUUCUUAAAAGUAUAAAAAAAUAUCUUAAACAUAUAGAAAAUCUAUCUUUGUAGAACAAGUAAAAAAUCUAAAACAUCUUACUUUCGGGAACGGAGAUAGUAUGAUUUUCACAAAGAAAAACAAAGGGAAAACAAUUGCAUGUACUUUCGAUCUUGACGUUCACGAUAGUCAGCCAAUCUGAAGAUCGAUAUGUUUUAGCACUCACCAACUUUAAUGAUUAUCGUUAUGUCAAAUCUUUCUCAUCUCCUUACUUGUGAAGAGAUCUAACACUGUAAUUCUUAAAUCAAAUUGUACGCUGUGAUACUAUUUUAGGGGAAGCCGUAAUAUUGAAUAAAAUCGGAUAUAUUAUAAAUAAUUUAGUUGGUUUGGUUUUGAUUAAUUAAAACUUUAGUAAAUAUUGCAUCAACGUAAAUUUUUUUCCGUCACAACAUAUUUGUAUUAGGUGGGUACAAUCCACAAUGACGGAACUAGCAAAAUCCAUUUAACUACAUAAUCUAAUUAUUUUAGCAUUUUUAUAUAAUCAAUUUUUAUAAUUGCUAUUUAAAUAUUUGGUGAUGAAAUGUGAUAUUCUUUUAUAUGAAAAGCUAAAACUAAAUACCUUCUUAUUAUAAGCUCAAAUUUUAGAAGAACCAGAUUGGCUCAUAUGAUAAAUUUGUACUUAACUGUAAAUUGAGAAUAAACAAAAUUAAUAUUUUUCAACACCUUCGUAUUAUCUAAUACAAAAAAAAUGCAAACUGAAAGAUUAAUGGGUGAGGCCUGAACGCUAAAAAGCCCAAUCCUCAGGCAGUUUCGGCCUUUGGGGAUUCGAUUUAAAAAGUGAGAGAAAAAUUUAUUCACACAGAAAACCAUGCAAAUAUUUCAGAAAAGUAUUACUCAUUCUAUUUUAAUUCAGUUCGGUUCAGUAGCAUAUUCGAUCGUCUUGGGGACAUAAUAAGACAAAAGCCAUGUGUACGUACAAUUAUGGCAGGAUACGACUGAUAACUGCAUUGUUAUUUAUAGUAACUACUAUAAAAGGUGUAUUUAAUCAGUCCAAUACAAGAAAGCCCAAAAACAAGCAAUUUUGUUUCACACAACUUAAAGCUCUAUAGAUCUUCAAAACAUUUUACCUGGGUCUUGUGGAUGUUUUACACAACCUCACAAAUCAUCUUCAACCUCAUAAAAGAGAACUCUGGAGUGACUAUAGUCUAUACUAGUAUGUACAAACAAUAACUCGUCACGUUCGUUCUUGUCUUUAUUUUUAUUUUGGCAAUAAUAUCCCCAAGAAAAUGACCGGAUUCUUUUUGUUGCGCAUGCUUUCGUCUUCUUCUUCUUCUUCUUCUUCUUCUUCUUCUUCUUCUUCUUCACCUCUAUUGCACGUUCUCUCAAUCUUCUUUACUCACUCCCACACACGUUUUUGAGUAUUAUUGCUUAAAAGAAAACAAAAACAAUAAUACAUUUUGCAGAACAAUCUCUUUAAUAUUCGACCACACAUGUCUCAGCAUUUUUUGUAUGAUUAAACUUUAUCCUUGACAUCCUUCCAGAAAUAAACCCAUCUACCCUCUCUUUAAUAAUUGACCACACAUGUCAGAGUUAUACCUCUUAUUUUUAUUCUCUAUAUUGAAACAACUAAUAUUAAACAGAUUUUCAUAUUAUAUAAUUUUGCGUUUUUUUUGUUUUAAAGUAAAAAAUAAGUGAAAAAUGUAAAAUAAUAAUAAUAAACUAAAAAUACAACCUAGUUCACCCAAACCGGAAAUUUAAAACCAGAAAUCGAUUUAUCAAACAUAAACAAUAUGUCUUUUAUAUAAUAUCAUAUAUAUAUAUAUAUAAUAUAAUCACAUUAAACACAAUAUCAAGUUAACUGCAUAGCAAUAUUAGUCAAUGUUAUCAUAAAUAUUUCACUGUUGUCAAUCAUAAUUUUAAUAAAAAAAUUGUUAAUACACAUAAUUUCAUAUUUUAAAAAUAAUUACUAUUUAACAACACUUAAUUCAAUAUAUUAUUAAUGUAUUUUUUAUAUUAAGAAUAAAAUUCUUACAAAUAUUAUUAUUAUCAAUAUAACUAUAAAUCACAUUUACAUAUAAAUACUUACAAAUUCUUAAUAUGAGAAAACUAAAUAAAAUUAUGCCCACUAAAACUAUAUCUUUUAAACGGUUGAUUGGAUGCAGGGCCGUCUAAUAGCACAUGCGGUCGAAUAGGGUCCGAAUAUAAAAAUAAAAGUUUUAAAAAAAUUUAAACAAUAUAUACAUAAAUUAUAGUCUAAAACUUCAAAAUUUAAAUACAGUACUGGCUAAUUUAAAGUUUAUAAUUUAUAAAAAAAACAUUAAACAUAUAUAAAUAGAACUAUUAAUUUCUAAAGCUAUUUCAUUAUGCUUUAAAUAUAUCGUUAAUAUUUUUGAACAGGGUCCAAAAAAAUAAUUGAGACGGCCCUGAUUGGAUGGCUUGCCUUAUGGUCGACCUUCACUCUAAAAUGUGACCAAGAAAACACAAGAGUCUGCAUAAAAUAGACACUGGAUUAAUUUGACUUCGGUUCGAAAUCACAUCCCAGUUAUAUGAUCUAAUAGAAUGAUCCCUAUCAUACAUACACAUCCACACUAGUUUCAGGUCCUAAUGAGAGGUGUGAUUGGUAUAUUAUUUCCCACCAAAUAAGAUGCCUCUUUUAAUACAUACUUCCAAAAGAAUUGUAUGUGGCUGAGGUGGAUUCAUAAACCAACCACAACAACAAUAAAACUGACUUGAAAGUGAAUAGUCAGAAACUUGAAUCCCAUUUUGAUUUUAUUCAUUACAAAAAGAAGCCUUAUUUCAUUACAUAAUAUGUACAUACGCAAAUACAUGCACCAAACAAACCAAAGACAACUUAAUCUGAUGAAAACAUUAAAACCCAAACUAGUCAUAUCUAUUGAUUACCAUCAAACUACUAAACUUAAAAACUUCUCUAACAAAGCAUCAAUAACAAGUUGGGUGCUCUGCUGCAAAAUUACCCUUACACAAUACAGUUUACACUACAAUCACAUGAGAUUUUUACUGGUUCAUACUAUGAUCCUUGCUUUUGCAUUAUUUCUCCGGUUGCUAACGUUUCUUUCAUAUCCCUUCUCAAACUCUCUCCAUUAGAGCAGCCUUGAGCUGAUCCUGCGUGAAAAACUGAUUCCCCAUCUUCACAGUCGCUUGUUGGAUCAUGAACUCAUUCACUACCGAUAAACUCGCGUGAUUCACUUCCAAUUCCAGUUCCUUGAGUGCUUCCAUGAACUUAGCACCAGGAUGAUUAUUCUUACCGCAUUGGAUCCUAAUCAUCGCAUCCCAACCAAUGAUCUUCACAUCUAUCUCCACCUCUAUGGACACACCUGAAUCUUGAUCCAAACACUUUUGAUCUUUAACCGAACUUUUCACAUUCCCAUCCCCCACCUCUUUGCUCAUCCCACCAAUCUGCUUCUGCAACUCCUCUUUAUCAGCUUCAGCCUUUUGCAGCUUAGCUUUAAGCUCAUUGAUAUACGAGAUCGCGUCUCCUAGAAGAGAAGCUUUAUCCAUCUUAGAGACAUUAGGAACCACAGCUCUCAGAGAGUAGAAUCUCUGGUUCAGCUUCUCUCUUCUCUGUCUCUCUGCCUCCACGUGAUUCAACGGCUCCUCUCUUCCGUUAGCCGGUUUCCUCCCUCGUUUCCUCGGUUUCUUCUCCGGUUCAGCCACGAUUCUACCACUCUCCGCUUCUUUAACAACCGAAGCUUCGAGAUCAGAGCGAUUCGAGUCGUUGGAUUUCGUAGGCAGGGGAAGAACAGAAGUGAAAGACAGCAUCUCUUCUUCCUUGUCGGAAACCAAACAUCUCUUCUUCUUGUUGCUGUCUCCCUCCACAAACCCAGAACUCGAGAUUUGCGGGUUCUGCUGCUGCUUAGGGUGUUCCACUGAGCUUCCAUUACAAAGCUUCGAAGCCGUCUGAGAAUCAGAGUUAGAAGUCGCCGGAGCCCCAAGAACCGGUUCGAUCCCGGUUACAUUCGGUUCAUUAAUCCACGUGGCGGGAUCAUUCUCUCCUUGAUCCGGGUUCAAAUUAAACUCCCAAGAACCCGACUCGCCUCCACCACCGCCACCGUUGAAACUGAAAAAGCUGUUGACUUUCUCAACGAGAUCCGAGCUCUGAUGUAUAAUCUCCAACGAACCAAGCUCAACGACGCCGUUUUGCGUCGGUAUGCAAACCAUCGUCUCCAACCCGUAAACCUGACCCUGGCGAGCUCUCUCGCAGCUCGAUCCAGCCAAGGCGUUUGAGCCAGAGAGCCAAAUGGUCCGCGAGCUCGAGAAAGCUCGGCCGGGCAAACCAGAGCCGUUGACUGACGGGAUUGGGCUUCCUCUUCCUCGACUUCCUCUCCUCCUCGCCUUUGUAGUAGCCAUCGCCCCAGCUUAGCAGCGCCGCCGUGUUGCUGAUGUCUUCUCCGGCGAAGUCGUGGGAUAGUUGCCAGAACACGGCGUACGUCCAGCUUUCUCUAGCUCCUUCGAUCAAUGCUUGGAGUCGUUGCUGGAGAGUGUCUUCGGUGACGUGAGGAGGAGGAAGAGUGAGAGGGGGUUGAUGCCAGAGAGAAGAGUGUUCGGAGCCGAUGAGAGGUUCCAUUACAGACGCAUUGUCUUCGGUUGUUGACCAGAGGUUUGUGCCGUUUGUUGACUGGUUGAGGUGGUGGUCGGUUAGUUGAACAUUUGUCGAAGACAUAGCCUUCUCCGGUGGACUUAAAGAGAGAGAGAGAGAGAGAGAAGUAGCUUAGUGGUGUUUCUUUCUUUGAUUGUUGGGGAAAUAAGUUUCGGUAUAUAUUUUAAAAAAAUAUUGUAAAUAAUAUGUUGAUGAAAUGGAAAUAAAAAUGUUUGCUUAAAAGUUUAUAUUGAUCAAUCAGUAUUUUUUAAAAAAUCUUGUCAAUAAUAUGUUUAUUUUCAGCGGAAAGAUUAUAUUUGACAUGAUUGGUUAUUUAUUUUUAACAAACGUAAAUGAAUGUUUUAUUCCAUUAACCUUUUUUUUUUGUCGGCACUUGAAACCAUUUACACUGUAUGUUUAUUAUAUUUAGUCUAGACGAAUUUAUGAGUUAAUUUUCAUGGUGUACUAUAUAUCAUACUUUGUAAAUGGAAGACACAACUGAAUGAAAAUAUCAUCACUGGAUCGUAGUUUAGUCUUUUUUUUUUUAAGAAAAAUCAAGAUUAGUUGUGACUAUUAUUUUUAUAAAAUCAUUUUAUUUAGCUAUUAAGAAAAACUAAAUAAGUGUUACAAAUAAUAUAGCCAACAUUUUUAAAAUAUAUAUAUAUAUAAAUUCAUUAUGAAUGCAAAAAAUUAUUGAUCUUAUCUAUUUAUUAAUUAUUUUUUGGUUUAUAUAGACAUAAUUUGAUUUGGAACAAACUUUAAAUUAGUUCGGCUUAUAGUUGAAUAGCAAAAAGAUAGACUUGUUUCGCCAACAUAUUUCAAAUUAGAUUGAUUUUAUGUGCAAAAAUACAACACAUUACUUGUAGAUAUCCACACACAUAUAUAUAUAUUACUGCUCAUUUACAUAUAGAUUAUACAUCAUCUAUGAAUUAAUGUAAUCUCUUUCAUAUACUUAAAUUUUACCAUAAAUCAUAAACAAAAUUUAAAUAACUAAGGUUUGUUCAUUCAAAUAAAUUGUUGAUAUCUUAAUUUGAUUUCUAUUUUUGAAUUUUUAACUUCCAUUUAAGAAAAUAUUAUCAUUUCAGGUGUAUUAAAAAUUCAGUGAACAUGUACAAAUCCAAAAAAUCGAUUGGACCUAAAAUUAUUUUACAAUAAUUAUUUUACUUUUCUCAUUCUUUAUUGAUGUUUCACUUAAAAUAAUAGUGAAAAUCAUUCUCAUUAAAAAGAUAAUUAUUAUAAGUGAAAAAACAUUCUUAUUUUUUAUUAAUCUUUAAUUAUAACGAUUAAAAAAAGAAAAGACAAAGACAAUAUAAAAUCUCUUUUUAAUUUAUUAAAAUUUGUUUUAUAGUAAAAUAGAAGUAAGUGGUGAAAUAGAAGUAAAAAAAAAGUAAAAUAAAGUAAGUGAAUAAUAUUUGUAAAAUCAUUCUCAUUCUUUAUUGAUUUUAAAUUAUCACGACAUAUUUUUUUGGAACACACAUGACAUAUUGUAAAAUCGUGAUAAUUAAAAACCAAUAAGAAAUGACAAUGAUUUUUCACCUAAAAUAGUUAUCUUUGUCCAUGUCUGCUUUUCUUUGUGAAUUGCGAGUGUGACUAAUCCUUGCCAGCAAAUAUCAACUUAGGGCCUGACUGGUUUCUCCGGUACCACCCGCAAACGCAGCUUUUGCGGUUGGUAGAGGUUGACGGCGUUUGGAAACAAUCAUACAAAUCGCUACAAAUCACUUUAAACCGUUCUGAACUUUUUAAAAUCAAAAGCUGGUUCCAACUAGCGUUUGCGGUUGCGGGAGGACAAUUUUUUUUUUUUUUUCAAAAACCAUAUAAAUACAAAAAUAAAAAUAUUCAAUAAAAAAUUUAAACUGGAAUUAUAAAAUACUAAAAUAUAUAUAUUAUAUUUUAAUUAAUAUUAUAAAAUUUUAAAAUACAAAUAUUUUCUAUAAUUUUUAAAAAUUUAAAACUAUAACUUUCUAAAUAUGAUUUUCGUAUUUAUUAUAAUAAUAUUAUGAUUUUUGAUAUUUUUAUAAUUAUAUAAAAUGUAAAUAUUGUUAAUUUAUUAUUUAACCGCUGUUGUAUUUGAUAGUUAACCAGUCAUAAGUAUCCCGCAAACGCACCAAUUUUUAACCGCAUAACCAGUCAUACAAAUCUCUUAAAACCGCUAGAAACCGCAACCACCCGCAUCCGCAAACUCCCGCAACCGCUGCGUUUGAACCAGUCAGACCCUUAAUUACACAACAAGUGAGUUGUUAAAUUAGUUGGUUCUCGGAGGAAAAGCUGCUUCUUUGAAGAAAAAUAUAGUUAGAUGAUAGAUUAAUCACCAAAAAAAAAAUAUAAUUAAACGGUGAAUGUUGUAACCCGAGAACUCACAAUUAUUAGCUCUGAGAUUUGGAUACAACUUUUAAGCUUUCUGAGAUCUGAACAUAUUUUUUUACGUCGUUAUCCGACACAACUUUUUGCAUGAUAAAAAGCAUGGACAAUUUCGAAAUAUAAAGGUGAAAAAGACUUGAGAGCAUAAAGGCAAAUAAAAGGUCUAGUAUUAUUUAAACUAGGGGCAUUGUGGACAGAGUUCUUGUUUCAUCUCAAUACUUGCUAGGGUUAUUGUAGUCGUGAAUUUUGCGUUUUGAGUUGUUUUUCAAUUUUUUUAAUUGUUAUAGGGUUAGAGUUGUGAUGAUGAACUGUGUGUGCAUUGUUCUCUACUUAUGAAGGACUAAAUUGUGUUAAUAUGUAAUUGAUAUAGUUCGUGGUGUUGUUUGCUAUGUCACUGGGACUUAUUGUUUGUUUGUCUUUAAUUUUGUUUCUUGUACUGUUGAGAGUACAUAAAUUAUAUUAAAAUUGUUGAGAGUACAUUUUGUUUCUAAAUAUUUUUUCUCCAGUUUAGUUGUGUAAGUUGUGUGUAAGUAAUAACUUUUAUUAUCCUUAUUAUGUUUGUUAUAUGUUUUUAUUUUAUUUUUAAACUUGUUGCUCUUACCGGACCUUUAAAACAAAUACAUGAAGACUUGUAGAAAUAACUAUAAAAUGAGUGACAGUUCUGAGUAUUUAGGCCUUAAUGGGUUUUAAACGAAUUUAUGCAUUUCUCAUAAGAAGACAAUAGCAUUGGCAUGUUGAUAUUGGGCAUGUAAGCUAUUUUUAUAAGACAAGAGUAGGGAGCAGGUGGAGAUGUUGUUGCUGCCUUUAUGUCUGUUAGGAUUGUCUCUUGUAUCUCCUCGUGUAGAUGUGUUUGUUUAUCUUUUAUUUGACGGGUAAUAUGUAAACAAAAAUCAUUGUUAGCAGUAUUUAUCAGAGUUCGUAAUUUCUUUGUUUUUUUGUUUAGGUAAUUUUACUGAUUUUGGUUGUCGUCUUCGUCUUCUUCGUUGCGAAAGUAAGUUUGUAAAUUGUUAAAUAGCUNNNNNNNNNNNNNNNNNNNNNNNNNNNNNNNNNNNNNNNNNNNNNNNNNNNNNNNNNNNNNNNNNNNNNNNNNNNNNNNNNNNNNNNNNNNNNNNNNNNNNNNNNNNNNNNNNNNNNNNNNNNNNNNNNNNNNNNNNNNNNNNNNNNNNNNNNNNNNNNNNNNNNNNNNNNNNNNNNNNNNNNNNNNNNNNNNNNNNNNNNNNNNNNNNNNNNNNNNNNNNNNNNNNNNNNNNNNNNNNNNNNNNNNNNNNNNNNNNNNNNNNNNNNNNNNNNNNNNNNNNNNNNNNNNNNNNNNNNNNNNNNNNNNNNNNNNNNNNNNNNNNNNNNNNNNNNNNNAUAUAAAUACAAAAAUAAAAAUAUUCAAUAAAAAAUUUAAACUGGAAUUAUAAAAUACUAAAAUAUAUAUAUUAUAUUUUAAUUAAUAUUAUAAAAUUUUAAAAUACAAAUAUUUUCUAUAAUUUUUAAAAAUUUAAAACUAUAACUUUCUAAAUAUGAUUUUCGUAUUUAUUAUAAUAAUAUUAUGAUUUUUGAUAUUUUUAUAAUUAUAUAAAAUGUAAAUAUUGUUAAUUUAUUAUUUAACCGCUGUUGUAUUUGAUAGUUAACCAGUCAUAAGUAUCCCGCAAACGCACCAAUUUUUAACCGCAUAACCAGUCAUACAAAUCUCUUAAAACCGCUAGAAACCGCAACCACCCGCAUCCGCAAACUCCCGCAACCGCUGCGUUUGAACCAGUCAGACCCUUAAUUACACAACAAGUGAGUUGUUAAAUUAGUUGGUUCUCGGAGGAAAAGCUGCUUCUUUGAAGAAAAAUAUAGUUAGAUGAUAGAUUAAUCACCAAAAAAAAAAUAUAAUUAAACGGUGAAUGUUGUAACCCGAGAACUCACAAUUAUUAGCUCUGAGAUUUGGAUACAACUUUUAAGCUUUCUGAGAUCUGAACAUAUUUUUUUACGUCGUUAUCCGACACAACUUUUUGCAUGAUAAAAAGCAUGGACAAUUUCGAAAUAUAAAGGUGAAAAAGACUUGAGAGCAUAAAGGCAAAUAAAAGGUCUAGUAUUAUUUAAACUAGGGGCAUUGUGGACAGAGUUCUUGUUUCAUCUCAAUACUUGCUAGGGUUAUUGUAGUCGUGAAUUUUGCGUUUUGAGUUGUUUUUCAAUUUUUUUAAUUGUUAUAGGGUUAGAGUUGUGAUGAUGAACUGUGUGUGCAUUGUUCUCUACUUAUGAAGGACUAAAUUGUGUUAAUAUGUAAUUGAUAUAGUUCGUGGUGUUGUUUGCUAUGUCACUGGGACUUAUUGUUUGUUUGUCUUUAAUUUUGUUUCUUGUACUGUUGAGAGUACAUAAAUUAUAUUAAAAUUGUUGAGAGUACAUUUUGUUUCUAAAUAUUUUUUCUCCAGUUUAGUUGUGUAAGUUGUGUGUAAGUAAUAACUUUUAUUAUCCUUAUUAUGUUUGUUAUAUGUUUUUAUUUUAUUUUUAAACUUGUUGCUCUUACCGGACCUUUAAAACAAAUACAUGAAGACUUGUAGAAAUAACUAUAAAAUGAGUGACAGUUCUGAGUAUUUAGGUAAUGAGUUUUAAACGAAUAUAUGUAUUUCUCAUAAGUGAGUUAUAUUAUGCUAAAAUUUUCUUUCUAACAAUUUAUCAAAUGACAAAUGAGUUAUAAGCAAAUAAUACCAUAUAAUUUUUAAAAACAUAGACAUUCUUAAAUAUUUUUUGAAUAAAUAAUUAUUUUUAAAUUUAAUCAACUGAAAAUAAUAUCCGUACAAUUGUGUGAGUCAAAUUCUAGUUUUAUUGAUGCAUGUUAUAUAUUAAUGCUGCAUGUUUUAGGUAACAUUUUAAUGAUGCACGUUUUUAAAUGACAUUAUGUCCAAAUUUAUUUAAGGAUAUUUCAUUAAGGUAACUGAAAAAGACAAACAAUAAAAUAGGAAGUUUAAAUUCAUUUAAGUAUAUUUCAUUAAUGUAACUGAAAAGACAAGUAAUAAAUUAGACAGUUUUAUUCGUUUUAGGAUAUUUCAUAAAUACAACUGAAAAAGACAAGCACAAAAAAAGAAAGUUUAACUAAUGAAGUAGAACAUUUUCAAAUGGGUACUUCUCUUUUAAUAAUAUCAGGGAAUCCCAUAAGCGAGGAGGUUAGAGGCUAUGCUCUAACUACUACGACCAAGACGGAGAGACUCGAAGGUUGAGUAACGGACGGCGGGGAUGCCGAUUUGAGGAACUGGAGAGGCAGAAAGAGACAUUUUCUAGAAGCUGGUUAAAGCUAAGAAGAAUCAAUGAGUUUUAUGGAGAUGCAAAUUGGGUUCAUCAAAGAUGAGAAUCAUAUAUAUAGGGUUUCGAGAAGGACUACUAAUCAGGAACAUUUAUGAUCAAGCGAUUUAAGAUGGGGAGAUGAAGAGUUCACCGGUGAAAAAAUAGAUUACGAACAGACACACGCCGCAACUCUGUAACUCAGACUUGUCUAAGACAAUGAUGAAAAGAACCCUAACUCAUGUUAAACAAAGACAGUUUACAAUAUGGAAAAACUAUAAUUGUUUUUUUUUCCUAUAACGUGAUGAAUCUCAUUUAAAAAUGAAACUCAUAAUACACUUGUAGGCCCGACCCACAGAAAAAACCGAAGAAGCAAAGAUUUUCGACCUUCAUAAAUAUAUAUUAGUUUCGGCCAUUAAUGUAUAAAGUAUCAUUUAUUUUAAUGGUAUAAAUGGUGGUGUUUAUAUCUCAAUAACCCGGGUUCGAACCAUGUGCUUGACACUUUUUUUACUCUUGUUAAAAGUGGGGUCCACGAAACGCUGACGUGGCGCGCUGAGGAGAGGGUAAAAACUCAAUCAUUAUAAAAAGAUUAACUAAAAAUAUCACAUUAUACGUUCUUUUUUUUGGGCAAACACAUUAUAUUCUACGUUCUAUUAUUUGUCGGGUCUCUUGUCUCUUUUUUGAUUGGCCAAAUGAAAUCUUGCUUUGUUUUUCAGUGAGAACAAAUGCCAAAAAUGUUGGGCUCUCUCUGCGUAUAUCCGACGAAACCUUGGUGUCUGUUGUACAGUGACGUUUUUUGGAAUCGCACUAAAGUACACAAAAUCAAAUUUAGAUUAGCUUAGUUUUAUUGGGCCUAUCACUUUUCGGCUCACUAAGUUUGGGCCGCUACUUUUUCUUUCUCAAACUAGAUUUCGCAUAUCAAGACUUUCUUAAUGGAAUAGUGGUGUACCAUGGAGUAGGUGUGUUUCUCAACCGAAACUGUACUCCAUUGGGGCUCAAAGUGAUGUUGCUUCACGCUGGAUAUUGGCUUCAAUAAGUGUGAUAGUGUAAUCAAUUGGUUUAUUGAUUUGCACAGAAAUGGGAACUGUGAAAGAGAGCUUAUGUAUGCAGUAUGACUCGACUAUGUGAAUACGAAGGAUAUAGAUUGUUGUAUUCGGUGAAAUAGAAGAGUGUACUGUAAACUCCAAUGGAAACAGUGAAGAGAGGCUAGUUUGAUAACCUGUUGGGAUAGUAGAGAUUAAUGAAAAAUAUAUAUGUGUGUGUGUGUAUAAUAGAUCUUAACCAAUAUAUAAAAUAGAAACUAGUUUGGAGUUUGAAGUUCAUGAAAUGUAACAAAAUUUUGACCCUUCCAUUUAUAAUUCUUUUAAUAUACUUAAUUAAAAAAAUGUGGACUUGAGAUGAUUAAAAAGAAUAAUAAAAGGGGUUGGUUGGUCAGUUACCAUCCAUGUUGCUUUUGGGAACGGAACUACGCACAGCGUCUCGUUUCACAACAACAGCACCAAGCUUUAUGCCAUUUCGUAACUGGUAGAGUCUAGUGAGGGUAGUAUCGUCAGAUCAAAAUGUUUCCAUCAAAUGUGACUCGUCUCAUCAAAUUUGAUCUGAAGAAGACGAAAGAGGAAGCUUAAAAAAAAACAAUAUUUAGAUUUCGAAAACUCGUUAAUGGCUUCUUCCGACAAUCUCACCGACAAGAACAUUGUAUUCAGAAAACUGAAAUCCAAAUCUGAGAACAAGGUUCGGUUUCUCUCUCUCCCAUCUGAUGGAUCGCGAAUGUUGUAGAUCUGGGAGUUGGUUGUUUGAGUAGAUCUUUGGAUUUGUGUGUGUGUGUAGGUAUGCUUCGAUUGCAGUGCGAAGAAUCCGACAUGGGCAUCUGUCACAUACGGUGUUUUCCUCUGCAUCGAUUGCUCAGCUACUCAUCGCAGUCUCGGUGUUCAUAUCAGCUUCGUCAGGUUUCCAUUUCUAUUCUUCACCAUUUGAUGCCUUUGAUAGGUUUAGAUAGGCAUGGACAUUCCGGUCGAGUCAUUUCUGGUCCAAAUUCUCCGGGUCUUAGACAUUUGGACCUAACUAGUUCUUUAAACAAGUUUGGUCGGCUAUUUUUGAGUCGGUUCCGGUUCAAAAUGUUGGGGUCCAAACCCAGCAUAGCCGGUUUUGGGCAAAGCGGAAUGAAUCAUUUUUUGAAGAAAAUUACACACACAUAGGCUCCCAAAUUUAUAUAAAAAAAUAAUUAAAAUCUUUAUUAAAUCGUUUACAGCCUUCAAAAUCUCAAGGCAUGCUCUGAUGUCCAAGCUUAGAUUUAGAGCUCUGAAAAUUGUAGCAUGAGGUUGAACAAAUGCAAGAUGAGAGUUUUGACCUUUAUUCGAAUGAGACUGACCAUAUACUAUAUAACCUCUUUCUUGUAUUUAAUUGGGUCAUGCCACAUUACGUUUAUCAAGAUGUUUCAUUAUGGUGUAGAUCGACGAAUUUGGAUUCGUGGAGCCCUGAGCAGCUCAGGACUAUGAUGUUCGGUGGCAACAACCGCGCUCAAGUCUUCUUCAAGCAGCAUGGAUGGACCGACGGUGGCAAAAUCGAGGCUAAGUACACUUCGAGAGCUGCUGAUUUGUAUCGCCAGAUUCUUGCUAAAGAAGUUGCCAAAGCCAUUUCACAAGAAGAUACUGCUAAUAACGCUCUACCUGAAUCUCCCGUUGCUGCGGAAGCAUCUAAUGGGCUUUCUUCUUGUUCCGUCGAGGAACAUGAAGCAACCUCUUCGCCUAAAGCUUCUAAUACAGCUGUGCCUAGUACGUUUAAGAAACCCAUUGGUGCUAAAAGAAUGGGCAAAACUGGUGGUCUUGGUGCUAGGAAACUUACUACUAAGGUUAGUCCUCAGGUUCAGGUUUAUGUUCUCUUUGCUCUGAUUGAAAGAUCUGAUUUUUUUAUGCAGCCAACGGGAAAUCUCUAUGAGCAGAAACCAGAAGAAGUUGCACCCGUUAUUCCUCCUGCUGCGUCUUUAACUAAUAACGGUGGAAGCAAAUCAUCAGCUGGUUCAUCAUCAUCAUAUGCGUCUCGAUUUGAGUACAAUGACGACUUUCAAUCUGGAGGACAAAGCGUUGGUGGAACUCAAGUGCUUAGCCAUGUUGCUCCACCAAAGUCUUCCAGCUUCUUUUCGGACUUUGGAAUGGACAGUUCUUACCCCAGGAAACCAAGCUCCAACUCCUCAAAAUCUCAAGUAAAGCCAUUGCUUUUCUCAGAAAGGAAAAAUAGUAUUAUUAUCCGUUUUCUAAACUUUUUUGUGUGUUCUUAACUAGGUUGAAGAGUCAGAUGAAGCAAGAAAGAAGUUUACAAACGCAAAGUCCAUCUCUUCUGCUCAGUACUUUGGUGAUCAGAACAAAAACGCUGAUCUUGAAUCAAAAGCUACUCUUCAGAAGUUUUCAGUGAGUAACGUUCCACGCAAGAAAACAUUCUCAUUCCUAUGAUUCUAAUGCCGUUGUGGGAUGUUGCAGGGCUCAGCAUCUAUAUCAAGCGCUGAUUUUUUCGGUCACGGCCAAGAUGAUUAUUCCAAUGUUGAUAUAACUGCUACUGAUCUCAUUAACCGGCUUUCUUUCCAGGUAAUAAAGAUCCUUACUUGCUAAAUCUCUGCUUCUUCUUCAGAUUUUUUAACCUGUUUGGGCUCUGGUAUCUUCUUGACACAGGCGCAACAAGAUAUCUCGUCGGUGAUGAACAUAGCAGGCGAAACGAAGAAGAAGCUUGGAACUUUUGCCUCUGGCAUCUUCAGUGAUCUUCAGGAUAGAAUGCUGUAAGAAGAAGACGAGGUCUCUCAUGGUUUAAUAUUUUUACAGAGAAAGAAAUGUCCGGGAAACUUCCAGUGAAGUAGACACGUUUCUCUGUUUUUGAAGAGCUCUUUGGAAUUGAGACGUGGCCUAUUGAUGUUAUCAUCACCCUAUAUGGAUACUAUUGGAUAUGUCAUCAAUAUACUUUUAUUAAUCUUUGUUUGUUUGCAGAAAAAGAUUUAAUUGUUAUGAUGAAGAUAUAUACAGCCGUGUUUUUGAAUGUUAAUCCUGAAAAUAGUUGAAAGAUUAUAUGGUUUUGCAAGAGAUUUUUGUUGGGAGUAAGACUCUUUUAGUCAUACUAGGGAUUUUGUCCGGGCGAAUUUAUACAAAUAUCUUUGCAUCUAAUGAUAUGUAUUAGACAUAUAUUACAUCUAUCUAAAAUAUCUAUGGGAUGGUGAACAAAAGUAAAAAUAAUUUAUUAAUUCAAUGUUAAAAAACUGAACCAAAUAAUGAUUCAAUAUUGUAAGAGCACCUCCAACAUGUGUAUGAGGAGGUGGAGUUUUUAAGAUUUUUAAUAUUAGAAAAAGGAAAAUAAGUUAAAAACUGAUCAAAAGUUUCUUAAUAAAAGACUUUUUAGAACCGUUCCUAAACUUUCUAUGCUUGUGUGUCUGUUUUCUAUUGGUGCAACUUUUGUUUUUAUAGUUUUAACUUUAGUUCUUCAAUGAAAUAGUAGUAAUGUAUUGUUUAGAUACGUGAUUUAGGAACUCAACCAUUAAAGUUGCUCUAGCUGGUUAGACCCAUCCAGAAAAAUAAAUUACAGAAUAACCAUAUAGCUUAAAAUAAUAAAUUUUAUCUCAAAAAUUGAAAACAUCAUCUAAAUUGUAACAAAAAAAUCUCUUAACAUCAAAUAUGUAUGACACAUGAAUAAUUUUCAGUUCAAAACUUCAAAUAUGAUAUGAGGGUUCAAGAAAAUACAUACACUUAUCCCUUAAAAAUUAGUUAAGUAAAUGUAUAUUUUUAGUUUGAUUUAUGAGUUUUUAAAAUCAAACAUUCACUUUAAUAUUGUUGUCAAAUUGAAUUUAGUUAUUAUAAUCAACAUUUGGAAUAGUAUAAAAUCGUCUUUAUUUAUAUAUCUAAUGUAAUCAUAUUGUACACAAUUAUAUUUUUAGAUCCCAAUGAAAACUUAUCUUGUUAUAUACAUAACGUAGCUGAAGUCAGCUUUGAGUAACUAAUGUUGAUUUGAAGUAAUAUUAUUCGGUCUAUCUAUUUGUAUUUAACUAAAUGCACCAGUAUGAUAAUAGCAUUUUGGUAACGAAAACAAAACAAAUCAAACUGAAUCCUUAGGGACACACAAACCGUAGAAACUUUCUUAAUCUUCUCAUUACAAAUACUUCUUUAGUUUUCUUCUUACAUUGUAGUCGCCACUUUCAAGUCUUGUCGCUUACUUAUUCUGUGGUGUUUGAAUCUUGUGACUUACUUCUUCUGUGGUGUUUUUGAAGACCUUCCUUUCAUCUUCAAUGCCUAGAGUCAAACAUAAAUACAUAUUAGUAUACAGUUUGACAACGAUUUUCUAGGUUGCCUAUGCGUCCACAUCUUUUUCACUUACCCAAAAUAAUGAUCAAAUACCUUAUCUACUCAACAGCUUGAACGAAGCAAAGAAUGAUAAUCGAAUUUAACAUCAGGUUCUACUGACAUUGUCCCCUCCAAAUUUGUUCAAUUCUCAAUAAUGUGUAAAUUAAGAAAAGAUUAAUGUGCUUGACCAAUAAAAAAGAUCAAAGUGCUCACACACGCGAUUCAAAAGUCGAAGAAAUAACCAUGAUUGUCUUCAUGCUCUACUGCUUGAGCUAUUACAGCCACCUCAUGUCAUAAAUCCAUUCUCAGCAGGCUUCUUUGAACCACCUUCAGAGCCAGACCGAUUGACCAAAUUGAGAUGAAUCAAAUUUGGGUAAAUUACUCUGGUUUACAGGAAAAGCUUUUUGCAGCCUUUUGUAUAUUCAGCAGUAGAAGAAGAAGCACUAUUAUCUCCAAAUGGUGCAGAAAUGUAGCCCUCGGAAACCAUGACCUUGUUGUCUCCUUAACUUUGUACAACUGACAUGUAACCCGAAUCUGGGAAAAACUACAUGUUUACAUAAUAAUAGAAUCAGUCGAAGCCAAGCAGAUAAAUAAGUGAGAGUUAAAAUUUAUUCAUGAAGGAUAAAAACUAUAUUUACGAUGAACUAAGCUUUUGAAAAGGAAACACAAAUGUAGACUCAUGAAGCAAACAUCAAUGGAAAGACUUACGAUGGCAAGUCGUAAAGGUACAUAUAUCUUUAUAGCUUUUAACAAAAGGAGAUGUAUCAUACGGAAGUAUAUAAAUAAUAAAUAUAUAUAUAUACUGAGUAUGUCCUUUCCCAUCCAAUCUAUCAAUGUAUCACUCAAAUCAGUACCUGCAGAAAUAUAAUCUUAAUUUCCAGAGAUGCAAACCAGGGAUUUAGAAUAACGAAGAUAAGACUGAAAAGAAAAUUUAUUCAUCCAAGUAUAUUAUGUUUCAAGGGCAUAAGUAGCUUAAAUAAGAAACCAACAAAAAGAUUGUGCCAGAUCAUAAAUAUUGACACAGAUGGAAAGUAAUCCCAUAAAUCACAAACCGCUCCAGUAUUAAGCCGCUCCUCACAAACUUGUGAAAACAAACAGAGUAAUGCAAUGUCUCUCAGAUGUGUGGAGUACCAGAGAAACUGGGUAGAAACUUGAUGAUAGAAAAAAAUGGUGAACUAUGACAUGAAAAGGUGACUGGAUUCUUACCUUCUCAACUAUCUGUUCCAUUUGAGCAGCCCUCAAAAUAACAUCCUCUAGGCACUCUUUAAAGGUUCCAACAGGGAAACAGGAGCAGCGAUAGUAAAAAAUACAUUACCACAAUCCGGAAGAUUAGCAUCAUCUCGAUGACACUCACUAAAGAACAAAGGAAAAAGUAGAUGGACUUCAAACCAUUUUAGAUGGGACAUACUUCUCUCGAGAGAAUGGGAAAACAAUAUUUGACUAAGCACCAUUUCUCUAGCCUCCCUAAAAAAAAGUUCCAAUCAUAAAAUAGAUUAGUUCCAAAAUUGUAAAAAUAUUAAACUAAUAGACAGCCACAAUGCAAACCUUUCAGCAUCAUCUGGUGAUCUCCGUUGAUUUACGUUCUGUUGAUUGACAUUCUUCCCCUGCUAGACAGGUUGGUUCACGAUGAGAUAAAAAUGUAACUUUUCCCAAUUAUAAAAAAACUGGCAUAAGUAAAGGUAAUAAAUAGUUACAGCGCCAUGUCGAGAUGCCAGCUCUAGAAAUUGUAUGUCUAAUAUCUUCUUGUUCAGAACCAGCCUACACAGAAGAAGUAGAAGAGGCAGAUCAAUAAAAGAUUAAUUUUGCAAAGAUCGUAACUCUCAAAUAAGAACUAUUUUUUGGCUUAACUUGGUACAAUGCUUUGAUUGCUGUAAACUUAUCUAUCAAAUGAAACAAAUGAUCAAGGACGUUGAUCCAAUUUUGAACCUGAUUGGGCUGUUUCUGUGGCUCAGCCGUCGUUACCAGUAUCGGGAUCCACGCGGCCGAGGGGUACGCUUUUGGUUGCAUCGCUAAUCCAUUGAUUUUUAAAAAAAGAAACGAAUUUGGGUGAAGAAUAAAAUUGAAUAUAUGAUUCAAGAAUGUUAUUUGAUGAGUAGGAGUGGGUGGUGAAUCUGGUGAUUAAUACACAAAACUGAAAUUGGUAGCGAGUCAAAUCGAUUCAAAUGAAGUGGAAGAGUCGGGACGACGGUGACAGGAUUUGAGUUCUUUUGGGCUCAUUAAUGAUGAGCCAUUUAACAUGUAGCCCACAUAAGUUACUCGACUCAUAGGAGUGACGUGGUGUUGGAGAACUUUAUGAUUGGCUGAUUAAAUUGGAGGAAGUUGACACCCUAGCUGAUGAGUAUAUCCUGCUUUUAGUACUGUGAUAUGACUGUGCUGCCAUGAUGUUUUAUUUAUCAAUCAUAUUCUCUGCGUCUCCAACAAGAAGUAAUUGGUCAUGGACCAAGCCAUACCUAAAUCUGGUUCUCCACCCAAAAAAACUAUAGCAUCUGGACACUGAAGAGGCAAUCCAGUCGGCUUUAUUGAUUGCUUGAUUAGCUAAGAACUUAUUCUAAGUGUGACAAAAGAAAGAUUCAUGAUGACUUUAACUAGACUAAAUCAGGCAUUAAUCUUUUCUGUUUUGUUCAUAGUAGCUAAUAAAAAGCUUUUGCUUGGGUUUUGUAAAAUAAAGAGGUUUAGAUUAUGUAAAUGUUAUUUUUGGUUCCAAUUUAAAGGCACCAUUAUACCAGAAAAUAGGAAGAACAAUUGAAUUUGUAUAAAGGGAAAUAAAGUAUUUUAAUUAUUAGGAAGAUAUACAGCAAUUGGUUCGUGAAAUGAAAGCCGAACCGGUUUGGUUCCACUCACUUUUACAAAACCAAUAAUUCACUUUGAAACGGUGUUUUUAAAACCGGACCGACCCGAUGGGUUCAACCAUGAACCGUUUACAUAGACGGGUUGGGUCUAAAAUUGGUUCGACCAUGAACCGAUCAAGUAGUCGGAUUGGAUCUCAAGAUUAUUAAACAGAUAAAAACCACUUAAGCUAUCAAAAAUCUAUAAACCAUCCAUUUAAACAUAAAACUAGUUUAUAUUUAUAUUGUUUUAUGUUUGAAAUUCAUUUAUACUUUAAUUAUGUAUCAUAUUUACUAACAUUACUUUUAGAUUUAUGUACUAAAAACAUAUUAAACGAGAUUAUUGAACCAGGUUUGACCCGGUCGAACCAUAUUGAACUGUGACCCAAAAAUUAUUCGGUUCAGCUUUCGGUCCGGUUUUAAAAACACUGCUUUGAAAUGAAUCAUAUGGCCAGCAUAUUUACAUAUUUGUAUAUAUCCUUGUUGUUACGAACAAACACAAAUCAAAGACCAGAAGAAAGCAAAUCGAUCAAAAUGUAUUGAGGCAAAUACUCAUUUAGAAUUUGUAUAUUAUUAGAAUGAAUAACUUAACAUUCCUUAGAUUCAUAUUUAUAAUAUCUUCAAAACCCGAUUUCCUUUCAAUUUAUCAAUACAUACUUAUCUAGAAUUUUUUUUUUCAUAAUCAUAAAAUGUACCGUACCUAGGCUUUUACUGGUGUACUGAAAUUUCAGACACAUCGAGAUGUAAUAGUCCCUUAUAGCAUGUAUAUACCUCUUCAUGUAAAUAAGAAUAUUUCGUUGUUUCUUAAAUUGCUGUAAUCCUUUUAAAAACAUACUAGAGAAUGAUCCGCGCACCCGCGCGAGUAUUAGUUCUUACAUUUUUAUACAUUGAUAUUUAUUUUUCAUAAUUAGAGUUAUAUUUUAGAUGAAUCAAAAUAUAACUAAUUGUAUUCAAAAGAUCUGAACCAAAUCGGAUAAGAUGGUUAUUUUUGGUAUAAAUAUCCGAACUCGUAUCAGAUACAUUUGUUAUUUAGAUUUUUUUAGGUUCAUAUACAUCAGAACCGAACUCAUCCAGACCCAAAAAGACCCAAUUCAAAAACUCAAACACAAA